GCAGCCCCAAUCGGGCGGUAA
rnacentral:snRNA from 1 species